CAUCGUCUACCUAUAAAAACCCAAUAUCACUGAAGACUACGAAAAGUCACUAAGCCUAACGGUGAACCAACUCGUCCCUGUAGAAUCGUUUUAUUGCCGAAUCGCGACGUGUUUCCUAGCUUGGAUCGUCUCGUCCGAUCAUUUUUCUCAAGUAGACGUCCCCUUGGAAGCAUCGUCCACGAUCAUCCCCUUGUCCUCUUGGCCAAGUAUUUGGUAUUCAGACAACGACAUGCCAUCGAAACUCGAGCAGCCUCUGCAAGAACGUAUCUUCGACAUGGCUUCGAGAAAAUUGUUCAUCUUGUUCGCAAACUGAUGCAAAUCUAUAGGAGCUUUUGCUAUAGUUUCCUGAGACAUAGAUGCAUUUCGUAUGGCAAGAAUGUUGACACAAAGUGAUAGAAAGGAUGUUUGCUAGACUCGUGAAGGGUUAACCAAGUUGAUAAGGGUAAAGUAAUUGAUACUGACGCUAAAACGUCUGACCGUGAAGUAAGUACAAACGGAACAUCCAGCGGAAUUAUAGGAUUAUAUUAAUACGCUCGUUUCACAGAGCCAUGGUCGCUAUUUGCAGUUACCACGCGCUUCUUCGAUACCCUGCGUGUAAAUUCAUUCAUUAGGGAUUUGUAGAUCUUUGAAGACUAUUAAAGGGUGGCCAAUUUAAAUUGGCUAAACUAUAAAAUGAAUUUUAAUUAUUAGUUAAUACAAUUAGUAAUCCAAGAAUUCAGAAGGGUGUCACUAUGUCUAACAAGUGUAAAUGACAGCUGAAUACGACCGUGUGCACGCGAACAAAAGAGUGAAUUCUUAAGGGUGAACAAAGCAUUUUAAAGAAACUUCAACUCUAAACAUUAACCAAAAAUACUUUCAAAGGAAUGUGAUAUCAAAGAGUAUCAUUAUGAGAAUCUAUAUAUCCAGGAUAAAAAAAAAUUACCUGAUAUUCGCGAAUCCUAUUCGAGAAUGCUGUACAUUGAUCAUGUGCCAUCUGACGCGUUCGCCAGUAUAAAAUUGCGUGUGA